UUUAUCUGAGCCCCGGGAAAGCUCCGUGACGUAGCUGCCCAUAUAUGGACAGACAAAGCCCAGCCGAAGGGGCGCGACGUCACAAUGGAAGCUCCUCACAAUGGAACAUUAGAAAGCAGGAAGCGGGCCGCAGCCAACGUGCAGCGCCCGCACCGCUCGCCGUUCUUAAAAAAAAAAAAAAAAAAGAAGAGAAGAAAAAAAGAAAGAAAAAAGAAAAAAAGAAAAAAGUCAAUUAGAAGAUUAGAAAGAAAAGAAGGACGAAGCCGAAUGCAAAGCGCGCGCUCCGCAGUGCACAGUCGAAAACCCAGCAACCAAACAUACCCAGACCUCCCGGCUGAGGGUUGAAGUGGUUUCUUGUGACUACAGGAGUGACAGGCUGGGUUCAGAGGAUCAGGGUGGAUCCAGAUGAUCUUGAUGGAAUGGCACAGGGCACAUCGUUUGCUAUCAUGUAACCCCCUGCAGUGCCAGCCGGGCUCCAGACUCCUGACUGGCCCACUUCAGACAGAGUAGAUCCAAACAGCUAUUUUUUUAACAAGUUUGGCCAAGGGCAAAGGAAUGGAGAGAUGGCUGAUUCUCUGAGAGCUAGAAGUUACCAAGUCUGCCUCUCUUGUUGCUGAUGGACCAUCCCUACAGUAUCCCCACCUACGAACUCAUUUGUUCUCAGAUCUGGGUUUUGUCCUAUGGUGCUCAGCUCAAUGAUGUAUAGCUCAACUUCCUGGAAGGUGUUCAAGGGCAGUGACAGCUAGAGCUGGCACUCCUUUCAGAUCUUGCACAGCUCCCUGCUACUUAGUAGCCCUUGGGUCUACUCCAGGCCCUUGACCUUCAGAGUCUCCCCAGCUCGUGUCUGCUUUCCUCCACAAGUCCCCUGACUUCGGUCCUGUCUGUUUCUCCCUCCUGCAUUCUGGAAGGGACCCGUCAUAUAGCAAAGGGAUCAUAGCACCCUCGGGGCAGUGGCCAAGGCUCAGCCCAGCUCUACAUCAGACAGACAGAGGAAAACGAAGUGCUUUCAGGACUACAAAGACCAAUCUACAUUGAGCCUGUCUUUUGAUAGGACCAGAACGGAUGAGCCCUCCAGGACUGAGAUAUUUCUUCAAGCCCAGCCUCAAGCAUGAUAGAAGAGGGGUAGGAGGGUAUGAUCCUGCCCCUUGGCAGCACUUCCCAGAGGGAAGCCCCCACGGCUGGGCUAACACUAUCCUGCUGAAUGAUUUUAGGAAUGACUGCAAUCCUGGGUACACGGAAGAGGGUACCUUAAGCCGCAGCAAGUGCCUGUUUCAUCCCCUCUACUUGGCCUCGACACAAAUAGUGACAAAGUGACCUUGCUCCUUCUGGAACCAUCAUCCCAACUGUCCCUAGCAGCCAACUAGAUGAGUUACUGUCUGAGCCUGGACCUUCCUGCCUCCAAGAUCUCCCCAUUUUACUCACCGAGGGACACCGUAGAAGACACCUAAACAUGUUGGUAGCAAGUGGCUUACUGUGACCUCCUCAAGUCUUCAAUAGCUGCUCCCCCCCACUUGAAGACCCGGGGAGGGGAGGAGCCUGUUGGUGGAGCUGGGCCUGGGGCUACUGUGAUGGGUGGGCCUGUGCAGCAACCUUCCUCCCCGGCCCCUGGGUAGAAGGUUCUGGAAGUAUUGUUUGGUUGGAUGCUGAGUACCAACGCAAUUUCCAAGCCUCUUGACGGUC